GAGCCUGGAGACAGGCUUCUGUCCCCUUCCAUAAAGUUUGAAUCCCAUUCUUUUUUUCUCUUUGAGACAAGGUCUCACUCUGUUGCCCAGGCUAUAGUGCAGAGGUGUGACCACGGCUCACUGCAACCUUGAUUUCCUGGCCUCAAGCGAUCCUCCUACCUCAGCAUCCUGAGUAGCUGGGACUACAGGCGUGUGCCAUGAUGCCUGGCUAAUUGAAUUCCACUCUGCAGACAACACAAGCCUUUGUAGGUUUACAGCAAUGAACCGUUGGGGCCACCUUGGUACUUGUGAAAGAGAAGGCUUCCCCUGGAGGAGGAAAUGGGCCAGGGUCCAGGUGAGAAAACUGAAGCUCAGAGACACAAAGUGCCUAACUCCAAGUCCUACAGCUAGCAAAUGGUAGAGCAGGGAUCUGUACCAAUAACCCAGGUGCAUCUGACUCUACAGUUCAUCUUAACGCAGCAGCACUCGAGGCUGUGCAGAGCCCCUACCUGAAGUGCUUGGUACUGACCUGAGUCCUGUGAGGGCUUUCACUGUUAACACAUUCUGCAACCUCAUUGUGGUUCCUGCAGUUCCCAGAGAAAAUGAAUUGGAGGUGGCCCAUCUUCUCCCAUGUGGCACAGGUAGCACUGAUGAAGGGUUAAGACUCCCAGUUUGGAAAUCUGGGCAUUAGACUUGGCUCUUCCACCAAUUCCCUGUGUUACCCUAGGCAAUUCACUGAACCUCUGUUUCCUCCGCCCUAAAAUAAAAACAGCAACAACCAUG